UACAGAGGUCUCAAGCGUUGUUCGGAUUCAUUGGGCGUAAAGGGUGCGUAGGUGGCGCCGUAAGUCAGGUGUGAAAUCUCGGGGCUCAACCCCGAAACUGCACUUGAUACUGCGGUGCUCGAGUACUGGAGAGGAGAUUGGAAUUUACGGCGUAGCAGUGAAAUGCGUAGAUAUCGUAAGGAAGACCAGUGGCGAAGGCGAAUCUCUGGACAGUUACUGACACUGAGGCACGAAGGCCAGGGGAGCAAACGGG
rnacentral:rRNA from 1 species